UACAGAGGUCCCAAGCGUUGUUCGGAUUCAUUGGGCGUAAAGGGUGCGUAGGCGGCGCGGUAAGUCGGGUGUGAAAUCUCGGAGCUUAACUCCGAAACUGCAUUCGAUACUGCCGUGCUUGAGGACUGGAGAGGAGACUGGAAUUUACGGUGUAGCGGUGAAAUGCGUAGAUAUCGUAAGGAAGACAGUGGCGAAGGCGGGGUCUCUGGACAGUUCCUGACGCUGAGCACGAAGGCCAGGGGAGCAAACGGG
rnacentral:rRNA from 1 species